AAGCAAGUUCUCAAGGUUUUGCGAGGGGAGAACAUUUUCUCCUCAAGAGGCACAGGCAUUCCAGUCCUCAUCUCGACCCCAAGUAACCUGCGGCUCCGGCCCACACAAAGGGAGGGCCUAGGGGCCUGAGGAUCCUGUGUUUCCCACACCUGGUGUUGGACUUCUUCCUCUACUCCUUCCACCAUUUGCAGGUUCAGUGUGAUUUCCUGGGCUCACAGCUGCCCCACCCUAGGGAGAUACAAGACUGAGGUCAUGGGACAGGAUAUAGGGUGCAGACAUAGCUCUCAGCUCUUGUGCCCUGGGCCUGGGACCUGAAGGGAAGAGGGGGAUAGUGUUUUGGGCUUAGCAAUGGUGAGCGGUUGGAGGGAGGUGUUGAUAUCCAUCUCACUGGCCUGGUUCUAUAGCUCUAGCAGGUACCUGCACACAUCCCUGUGCUCCUGGAAAGCUCUGGUGAGCUGGUCACGCAGUGCCCUCCCUUCAGCCUGCUCACCCUGCAGCUGCAUUUUGGCUGACUGUGGGGCUAGGGAAGGGCAAGGAUUCUGGCUAAGGAUUCUAGGCCUACCUGUGGCCUUUCCCCAUCUUUCUUCCUAAACGACUGCCCCCACUUCCUUACCAAACAUUUCCUCCAGAAAGACCUCCUCCUAUCCCACCCCUGCAGGGUGCCUCAAGACUGUACCAUAAAGGUAUUACCAGGUCCUCCAUAGAAUCCAGAUUCCCUCGCCCUUACAGCACCUUGUGUCAACAAUAAAAAGGUGGUGAUCCCGGCGCCCUACCAGGUAGCUUGUGUGAAAUCUUGCACAGCACAAUGUGUACUGUAGUACAUGAUCCCGCCUGUCUCCAACUCCUCCAGCAGAGAUUGGGUGGUUCCCCACUCAUACACCUUGGAUGUGGCAGAUAUUACCCCACUCCAGUUGGCCCAGGGCUGAGUCCUGCUCAGCUUGUUGGUUGAUCUUGCACUUGAGGAUGUCACCUCACAGGUCUUCAAUGAAACUAGUGUACCGGGCAAUAUGUUAAUACAUUAACUAAGUUCUGCUUCACCUGCAGGGAGAAAGGAUGGGGACAGAGGUCUAUAGUCAAUCACACAGGAGCUAGGCCCACUUCCAUAACUCCGUGGGCCUUCCUGUGGGGCCUUCCUUUCUCCCUUCCUUCUUUCUCUCCCAGUCCUGAUGACAGUAAUGACCAUGUAGGGACAGACUUAGGCCCUUUUUAAAGGCUAGAAAACUAUAUGGCUAUAAACAGCAAGGAGUUUUCAAGCAGCUUUAUGGUUCGAAGCUGACAGGUUGUAGUUUUGACACCUGCCUCUGUGAGGCAACACUGUUCCUCCAGUGCAGGUUGCCAUGCCUACUUCUGUUCUCCUAUUAGCCUACAAGACCAAACCCCUAGCAACAAGACCAAUAUCCAAUCAAUUGAGUUUAGAUCUAACGUCCAGGAAGAUGGUAGAGUGGUAAGCAGAAAAGAAAGAGCCUCUCUGAGAUGUGCUGUCCAGACACUAGAAUAUAGCAACAGGAGGAAGAGAAGGAGGGAAGUGUGUCCCCAGGACUCAGGAAGGAUCUUAAGCACCAGUUGAAGCUCACCAGGGAGACCAAAGAGAGAAACUUCAACCAAGAAGGAGGUAGCAGGUGGGACCUUCUCCCUGAAUUGGCACUCAUUGCAUGGGAAAAGUGGCUCAAACCUGCAGAGACAUGGUGAUUGCUAGCAACCCCAUCUCCCUCUACAGAGAGAUGCAGCAGUGCAAUGGAGGAGUGGACACUGUGAACUGCACUGGCUGGUGAGUGGACCAGAUUAGGCCAUCCCAAGGGAAAGGGCAGUUGGCCAGGAGCCAUCUUGGAGGGGGCCAAGUGAACUCAUAACUCAGAGCAACUGCUGGCUCCAGCGAGCAGCUUUCAGCUGAGCUCAAGCCUGCAGAAGGUGCACUAACAGCUGCAGGCUGAACGCAUCUGGCUCCAGACUCACAGCCAGAAACCCACCUGAAGUUCAGGAGAAAUAAAGGAUGGAGAUGACUAUGACUGACUAGAAGAUUGUUCUGUACUAAGGUAUCCGAGUGUCUGGCACCCAAACACAUGAACAUGAGACUUGGAGAAGACCCACCAGAGUGGGAAGGAGCAGUGCAGAUGUCAGGGCAUCGCAUGGGAUGAAUUUGCAGUUGGCUGAGCAGAAGUGAAAACAAUAGAAACACUGUGGUGGGUGCCAUCCUGAAACAUGUGACAUGGAGAGAAGAGAUCUCCAAACUCAUGGGAGAGCCUGCUGCUACCAGGCCCACCAGUGCAAGCCUUUUUUGAGGAUGACCCUGGAGGAGAUGCCUCAGCUGCUGUUGAUCACACAGGUGAUGUGGGGACAAGUGAUGAAGACAACCAAGGAAGCUGAAAAAUUGGUGAUGAGACAAAGCCUACCAUAUACACUAGAAAAUAUGUUUGUUGCCACGAUGGCCAUCAUUGCCUGCACUGCAUGUAUAAGUCCAGUGUCUGGAAAAGAAUACUGGAUAUCAGUACCUAACCCACUUUCUUACAACCCCUUAUGUGGUGUGAUUUUCCCUCUGAGAUUCAUCAUGAUGGAUUAGACUGGGUUCCAAGACCUUUUAUGACCCUGGGUUUGUGGAUUCCUAUAUUACUUUUUAUAUUCCUGUGUUAUACUUUUUAUAUUUAUCCUUAUGCAUUGAGCAUAAGUCUUUACAAUCUAUUUAUUACCUACCUGCUGACCCACAGGUUUGGAUGGCCCAUUAUGGAUAACAAUUAAUAUUUUUAGGAAUGGGAUCUAUGAACAUCCCAGGGGACUAGAUCAGUUCCUCCACACCUGACAUUCCUCCGUGUACACAGUAUACAUUCUGGGGAGACACAUGAUUCUGCCCCCCACCAUGAAUCUCCUAUAUAGGAGAUAGGGGGCAAAAAAUGUGCCUAAAUCAAUUUGAAUUUAUAGAUUGGGGCCCUCCUGGGAGGCUAGAAGGAAGAGACAAAAACCGCUCAAUCUAGCAUAUGGCCUGUUGGUGUUGGUGCACUAAUUACUAAUGAAGGAAUACCUCCAUUUUGUAUUCUGAUGCUGAGGAGCAAUUAGCAUAGCAUGGAAAUGGCUUCAGUCCCCCAUUGCUGCAGGCCAUCAUUAAAAGCAGGCCUGGACCCCUUCAAAAAAACUUUUCAAAAUUAGCUCUUCCCUAUUAUACAGGUCAACAAUGGAAAGGACAUUUAACCAAAUGUACUGCAAAUACUUCUAGUGUCCAAAUUUGGAGAGGUAAAACCCACAGUUUUCAUAUGUAUGUAUAAUCCUUACAUUUUCUUAUAUUGUUGAAUGGAAUCUUACCACAUUUACAUGCAGAGAAUGUAGCAGCUUGAGCCCUAGCAAACAAGACUUUACUAGUCUUGAAGCAUAUGCCUGGAGUCUGGAUGCCCAUGAAUCUUACGGAACCAUGGGCCAACACUUCUGCUAGUCAUCUAUUAAAAUCUCUGAUUAAUCAUCUUAUACAUAGAGCACAAAAAAUGUUGGGCUUAAUUAUUGCUGGAAUUGCCUCUUUGGUAUUGUUAACCUCAAGGGUUCCCCUGUCCUCUGUGGCUCUUGCUCACUCUAUACAGAUUGCUCAUUUUAUAUACAGCUGGACCAAAACAGCAGAUAAAGCUUGG